GCUCCUGGAUUCAGCGGCGGACGGGUGAGUAAUGCCUAGGAAUCUGCCUGGUAGUGGGGGAUAACGUCCGGAAACGGGCGCUAAUACCGCAUACGUCCUGAGGGAGAAAGUGGGGGAUCUUCGGACCUCACGCUAUCAGAUGAGCCUAGGUCGGAUUAGCUAGUUGGUGGGGUAAAGGCCUACCAAGGCGACGAUCCGUAACUGGUCUGAGAGGAUGAUCAGUCACACUGGAACUGAGACACGGUCCAGACUCCUACGGGAGGCAGCAGUGGGGAAUAUUGGACAAUGGGCGAAAGCCUGAUCCAGCCAUGCCGCGUGUGUGAAGAAGGUCUUCGGAUUGUAAAGCACUUUAAGUUGGGAGGAAGGGCAGUAAGUUAAUACCUUGCUGUUUUGACGUUACCAACAGAAUAAGCACCGGCUAACUUCGUGCCAGCAGCCGCGGUAAUACGAAGGGUGCAAGCGUUAAUCGGAAUUACUGGGCGUAAAGCGCGCGUAGGUGGUUCAGCAAGUUGGAUGUGAAAUCCCCGGGCUCAACCUGGGAACUGCAUCCAAAACUACUGAGCUAGAGUACGGUAGAGGGUGGUGGAAUUUCCUGUGUAGCGGUGAAAUGCGUAGAUAUAGGAAGGAACACCAGUGGCGAAGGCGACCACCUGGACUGAUACUGACACUGAGGUGCGAAAGCGUGGGGAGCAAACAGG
rnacentral:rRNA from 1 species